rnacentral:rRNA from 1 species
GACGAACGCUGGCGGCGUGCUUAACACAUGCAAGUCGAACGGUAAGGCCCUUCGGGGUACACGAGUGGCGAACGGGUGAGUAACACGUGGGUGAUCUGCCCUGCACUUCGGGAUAAGCCUGGGAAACUGGGUCUAAUACCGGAUAGGACCACUGCCUGCAUGGGUGGUGGUGGAAAGCUUUUGCGGUGUGGGAUGGGCCCGCGGCCUAUCAGCUUGUUGGUGGGGUGAUGGCCUACCAAGGCGACGACGGGUAGCCGGCCGGGGAGGGUGACCGGCCACACUGGGACUGAGAUGAGGCCCAGACUCCUACGGGAGGCAGCAGUGGGGAAUAUUGCACAAUGGGCGCAAGCCUGAUGCAGCGACGCAGCGUGAGGGAUGACGGCCUUCGGGUUGUAAACCUCUUUCAGCACCGACGAAGCGCAAGUGACGGUAGGUGCAGAAGAAGGACCGGCCAACUACGUGCCAGCCGCCGCCGUAA